rnacentral:rRNA from 1 species
GACGAACGCUGGCGGCGUGCCUAAUACAUGCAAGUAGAACGCUGAAGGAGGAGCUUGCUUCUCUGGAUGAGUUGCGAACGGGUGAGUAACGCGUAGGUAACCUGCCUGGUAGCGGGGGAUAACUAUUGGAAACGAUAGCUAAUACCGCAUAAGAGUAGAUGUCGCAUGACAUUUGCUUAAAAGGUGCAAUUGCAUCACUACCAGAUGGACCUGCGUUGUAUUAGCUAGUUGGUGAGGUAACGGCUCACCAAGGCAACGAUACAUAGCCGACCUGAGAGGGUGAUCGGCCACACUGGGACUGAGACACGGCCCAGACUCCUACGGGAGGCAGCAGUAGGGAAUCUUCGGCAAUGGACGGAAGUCUGACCGAGCAACGCCGCGUGAGUGAAGAAGGUUUUCGGAUCGUAAAGCUCGGUUGUAAGAGAAGAACGAGUGUGGGAGUGGAAAGUUCACACUGUGACGGUAUCUUACCAGAAAGGGACGGCUAACUACGUG